ensembl:lncRNA
GCCAGCAGGGAGCUCUGAGCAUGUGAGAAGAGGCCUGUGUCAGGCAGAACAGGACGGGACCUUGUGUCACAGUCUUGCACAGCCGCUGGAUGGGGCCAUCCGAGAAGCCCACCAUCUCAGCUCAAGUUGAGGCCAAUCGGAACCAGACACUGAUUUGAACUCCAAAGAGGAACAGCUGAUUCCUGAUGGUCUGUUUCCUCCUGGGUUUACUGCACAACAGUAGGCGUGCUAUCCAUUGCGCCACUGGCCCUGUUGGCUAUUUUCCUCCAGAAGCACUAAACGAGAAAAAUGGAAGUAUUUAGCUGCAUUCACUUAGAAAAUUGCUUGUUGUAAUGUAUUGAUAAGAGCCAUGAUAGCACACUUGAACAGUUAAAAUCUGC